UACGGGGGGAGCAAGCGUUGUUCGGAUUUACUGGGCGUAAAGGGCGCGUAGGCGGUCAGCACAAGUCAGUUGUGAAAUCUCCGGGCUUAACUCGGAAAGGUCAACUGAUACUGUGCGACUAGAGUGCAGAAGGGGCAACUGGAAUUCUCGGUGUAGCGGUGAAAUGCGUAGAUAUCGAGAGGAACACCUGCGGCGAGGGCGGGUUGCUGGGCCGACACUGACGCUGAUGCGCGAAAGCCAGGGGAGCGAACGGG
rnacentral:rRNA from 1 species